UUAGCUCAGUUGGUAGAGCGUGCGCCUCAUAAGCGUAAGGUCGCAGGUUCGAUUCCUCUCG
rnacentral:ncRNA from 12 species